rnacentral:tRNA from 1 species
GCGGCAGUAGUAUAGUGGUUAGUAUACGACGUUGCCAACGUUGUGACCGGGGUUCAAAUCCCCGCUGCCGCA